rnacentral:rRNA from 1 species
AGAUUGAACGCUGGCGGCAUGCCUUACACAUGCAAGUCGAACGGCAGCACGGGGGCAACCCUGGUGGCGAGUGGCGAACGGGUGAGUAAUACAUCGGAACGUGCCCUGAAGUGGGGGAUAACGUAGCGAAAGUUACGCUAAUACCGCAUAUUCUGUGAGCAGGAAAGCAGGGGACCGCAAGGCCUUGUGCUUUAGGAGCGGCCGAUGUCGGAUUAGCUAGUUGGUGAGGUAAAGGCUCACCAAGGCGACGAUCCGUAGCGGGUCUGAGAGGAUGAUCCGCCACACUGGGACUGAGACACGGCCCAGACUCCUACGGGAGGCAGCAGUGGGAAUUUUGGACAAGUGGGCGCAAGCCUGACUCCAGCCAUGCCGCGUGAGUGAAGAAGGCCUUCGGUUAGUAAGUCUACGUUUCGGUUGGAAGUAAUUGUACUUAAGGUUAAUACCGUUAAGUAGAUGACGGUACCAG